AAUUUGAAUGGACAUCCAGGAUGACUUUUAUAUCUGAUGGAUGGUUCUAGUUGGAAAAGUGUCUUGAGAGCCUUAAUGACUUCUAAGCAGUUAUGAUAGAACAGAUGGAAUGAUGGGAUUUGUUUGUUUGACUGUGUUUGUAUAGCAGUCAAAGUCUGAUUUCCUAGAAGUGGGUAUUAGUAUUACCUGAUGGUUCAUAGUGGUCAUCACUGCUUAGGAUAGAUUUUGGUAAAGUGAUCAAUAUGUGCAGAUUUUGGGCGAUUGAUAGUUAUGGUUUGGGGGAAUAGAUGUUUGUGAUUUUAUUGUGAUUUGGCUAUUUUUGAAUUAUGCUCUCUGUUAAUUUCAGAAUUAUUGCACCAUCAGGACAGAUAUUACAAGAAGAUCACUUUCAAAAGAAAUAAAAAUUGUUUUUAUGGUUUUCUUUAUGAUGCAUUAUACAUUACAACAAAACUGUAAAGACUGUUCAUGUGUUGUUGAUGAUAUAUUUUGUUCUUGGAGAGGUAUUGUUACUCUAACCUUUUGCUUUCUGAAGUGGUUUUCAUUGCUUCCAAAUUAAAGUUUACUGGGAAAGAUGGAAAAACUUGCAAAUGUUUGUUUCCUGGCAGUUAAUUUCUGGAUAGGUAUUAAGUUUUUAUGUUAGAAUCAAAAUCAAAUCUAACAUAACUCAUGAAAUGGCAAACUUUGCAGAAUUUGUUCUUAGUCACAUUCCUUUCCUAUCAAUAAAAGUUGAUCAAAAUUCCUUUUUCCCGUUUUUAGCCUUUUUUUUUUUUUUUUUUUUUUUUUUUUUUUUGGGCUGCACCCAUGGCAUAGGGAGGUUCCCAGGCUGGUGGCUACAGCUCUGAUUGGACCCCUAGCCUGGGAACCUCCAUAUGCCGCGGGAGCGGCCCAAGAAAUAGCAAAAAGACAAAAAAAAAAAAAAAAAAAAGGGAUAAAAAUGCUACCAAAGGAAGAAAUAUAGAAAGCAAGGCAGAAAAUAGUAACUUCUGACAACCUUUCUAAGGAGAAGAGAGAAAUUCUAAAAAUAUAUUGGUAACAAACUAGUAAAAGAACUAGUAUUAUCACCAUAAUCUGAAACUCUUUGACAAAGGGGCAAACUGCCUUCCUUCAGUAGCACCUGAGAGUAUCACUAUUACAACACAGUAGAAAACUGAUGAUUAAAAUGGUGAAAUUAAGUUACCAAGAAAAGGUUACCUUGUUUUCAAAAUAUGCUCUUUGAAAAGUCAUAAAAAUAUAUAAUUUUAGAAUUAAAAUUUUCAGAAGUGCCUUAUUUAUGCUAAACAUUUUAGCCUUAUCAAGAGUAAACUAUAGUCUGGAUUAAUUCUUUUGUUAGGAAUAAUUCCUUCUGUCUUCGUUUACCAUUCAUACCUUCCUUUAUAUUUGAAGGGCUUUUCUACCACUGGUAAUUGCUCUCAAAUGUGAGGAUUUAACUGUAGAAGCAGGGAUUUUAUUUAUUUUUUGUCUUUUUGUCUUUUUCUUGAGCCGCUCCUGCUUAUGCCCAGGCUAGGGGUCUAAUUGGAGCUGUAGCCACCGGCCUAUGCCAGAGCCACAGUAACACGGGAUCCGAGCCUGGUCUGCGACCCACACCACAGCUGCUAGGGCAACGUCAGACCCUGAACCCACCGAGCAAGUGUAGGGAUCGAACCCGAAACCUCAUGGUUCCUAGUCGGAUUCGUUAACCACUGUGCCAUAAUGGGAAUUCCUGAGAAGCAGGGAUUUUAAACCUACUCACUAUUUGUAAAAUCUCGUCUCCUAGAUCUGUUUCUUGUAUUAUUUUUUAACUUCCUUUUACACAAAAAGAGAUGCUUUUGUUUUUCUACAUGUCCAAUAGUCCAUAGUUGUACUAUGGUAUUCAGAGUUGAAUUAGCUGAAAUACAUGAAAUGAGUGGGGAAAACGUAACAUCUUACAAUUUUGUUAACUGGUCAUCUUUCCUUCACAAUCACACAAAAGUAAAACUACAGAUAAACAGAGCUCCCCCUCUCCAGUGAGAUUUUUCUGGGCUAGCAUGAGGUUAGAGUAGUUAGAGAUAGUAUUCAGUUUAAGUCAUGUUGUGGUAUUGGUAGGGUUUUUUUUUUUUUUAAUAGUGCACUCAAAAAAAUUAGAUUGUAGGAAAUGGAGGCAAGUUUUCAUGGCAAAAAUGCUACUGAUUAGGAUAAUUUUAUGUUCAAAUAGCUUUUUGACUAAAAGUAAGUUCAGAGAUUGGGUGUUUGUGUAUGAAUAUUGUGAUAAUGCAUCAUAUUUUAUUAUGUUUUUCUCCUGUGGGGUGAGUAAAAUUUUGAAGUCAUAAAGUUAUGUCAAAGUUUGUGCCCUGUUUUUUGUUUUGUUUUUUCGGUUUGGCUAGAUAAGGCCCUAAACUAUAGCAGUGGCAGUUGGAACAGAGAGCAAGGAGUGGAUUUGUGAUGAAUUUUAAAGGUAGUAUCCAUAGGACAGUUCAAAUUGGUACAGAAAUUUGAGAAUAUAAAGGGUUUAGGGAGUUAAGUUGCCAUAGCCUUUGUAGCUUGGGAAACUACAUAGAUGCUGUUGCUGUUACCUGAGUUAGAGAAGAAAUAAAUUUUUGGCAGGUAGAAGAAGGUGGGAAAGGAUGGUAGAUAAUGAGUUUAAGUUUUGGAUAUAUUGAAUUUUAGGUAUCUCUGUAGGUGAAGAUGCCCAGCAAGCAGUUACAAAUUUGGGUAUGGAACAAUGAAAAGAGGUUAGAAUUGGAGAAAGAUCUGAAAUCCGUCCAGUUUUCUUCAUCUCUUCUACUGUGAUCUGAGUUCAGGCUACUAUCAUCUCUCACCUACAUUAUUACAAGUUUCCUAUUUGGUCUCUUUUAAUCUUCUCCAGUCCAUUCUUAGCACUAGCUACAAUCAGCAGUCUUUCUAAAUGGCAAAUUUGAUUAUAUCAUUCCUCACCUUAAGUUUUUUCUCUGACUUUCUUUUAUCCUAUGAUGAAAUUCUCAUUCCUAUUCCUUUAACAGAUUUGUACAUUCAUUUAAGUUCUUCCCCCAACUUAUUUCUCUAGCCUAGUGUCUCUCCUCAACUUCUUGCUUCCCGUAAAUAGACUGAAUUACUUGUGGUUUCUGGCAGUAGACUCUCUCCCUUCCAAGCCUUUGACUUACUGUUUCUUUUUCCUGGAGAGUUCUCCUCAUCACACCCUUUCUCCCCUCCCUCUGUCUGACUUAUUUCUACUUAUCUUAGGUUCUUAGUCAGCCUUCAUUGUUUCGUUAUCAUCAUUAUUGUUAUCACUGAAAAAAAUUUUAAUCCACAGAAAAGAAAAAA
rnacentral:lncRNA from 1 species